UCUAACGUUAGAUUUGGACACGCUCAAACGCACCUGCGCCACAUGCUUCAAGCUGUGCACUUAGAUCGUGAGUUUGGGGCCCAUCAUGACACACAGACACAGUUUCCUGUAAACAGGGAAGAGCAACACUGAGAACAGGAAGAGAACCUGAAAGUGAAAGUAAUUUUGAAUCGACAAAGCAGGAGGAGGAAAACUGAAGGCUGAGGCAGGUUUUUCAGACUCAUCUGAAAAAUAACUGAACUGUUGUGAUGUAGCAGUCAGUCCAGGACAGAGCUGGAGGCUACACCAGUGCAGUCUAAGUUUGUACCUGAUGUUCUCAACACUGGACAGCCUAUAGGGAAACAGGCUGAGCUGUUUGUUGAUGCUCAGCUGGAACGCAGUAACACAUCAGCUGUGCUGGAACAACAAAACACCUGAACUGAAGUCCAGAAGAUGGAAGAGGAGGACAGAGCAGAGUCUGCAGGAUCCAGCUGUCUGUCUAUGAAGAGUGACUGGUCCAAAGGAGGAAUUCCUCCAGACUUCAGUCCUGAACCUGGACCCUCAGACACAAAAGAGAGGAAGAGGAGUCAUGUUUCUGUGGAGGAGCAGCCGUCCUGCUGUGCUUUGUGUC